rfam:Glossina pallidipes unplaced genomic scaffold Scaffold335, whole genome shotgun sequence.
GGAGGUAGUUUUUAGUACGUAGAAGUCGUAUUUGCUGCUACUAAGAACCAGCAGUAUCUUUUGAAGAUUUUCUACCUCC